GACGAACGCUGGCGGCGUGCUUAACACAUGCAAGUCGAACGGAAAGGCCCUGCUUGCAGGGUACUCGAGUGGCGAACGGGUGAGUAACACGUGGGUGAUCUGCCCUGCACUUCGGGAUAAGCCUGGGAAACUGGGCCUAAUACCGGAUAGGAGCCAUUUUUAGUGUGAUGGUUGGAAAGUUUUUUCGGUAUAGGAUGAGCUCGCGGCCUAUCAGCUUGUUGGUGGGGUAAUGGCCUACCAAGGCGGCGACGGGUAGCCGGCCUGAGAGGGUGGACGGCCACAUUGGGACUGAGGUACGGCCCAGACUCCUACGGGAGGCAGCAGUGGGGAAUAUUGCACAAUGGGCGCAAGCCUGAUGCAGAGACGCCGCGUGGGGGAUGACGGCCUUCGGGUUGUAAACGCCUUUCGCUAGGGACGAAGCUUUUUGUGACGGUACCUAGAGAAGAAGCACCGGCUAACUACGUG
rnacentral:rRNA from 1 species